UACAGAGGAACAAUCAACAUCUUAUUCUGCUUUGCCUAAGUUUUUUACCUUCACAACUGGAAUGGAACAAUCAAAUUUUUGUUUGGUUUUAUCUCCCGAAUCUCAAGAAUCC